rnacentral:rRNA from 1 species
UGACGGUACCUGACUAAGAAGCUCCGGCUAAAUACGUGCCAGCAGCCGCGGUAAUACGUAUGGAGCAAGCGUUAUCCGGAUUUACUGGGUGUAAAGGGAGCGCAGGCGGUGUGGCAAGUCUGAAGUGAAAGCCCGUGGCUCAACCGCGGGACUGCUUUGGAAACUGUCAUACUAGAGUAUCAGAGGGGCAAGUGGAAUUCCUAGUGUAGCGGUGAAAUGCGUAGAUAUUAGGAGGAACACCAGUGGCGAAGGCGGCUUGCUGGAUGAUAACUGACGCUGAGGCUCGAAAGCGUGGGGAGCAAACAGGAUUAGAUACCCUG